rnacentral:rRNA from 1 species
CACCAAGCCUUCGAUGGAUAGGGGUUCUGAGAGGAAGGUCCCCCACAUUGGAACUGAGACACGGUCCAAACUCCUACGGGAGGCAGCAGUGAGGAAUAUUGGUCAAUGGGCGCUAGCCUGAACCAGCCAAGUAGCGUGAAGGAUGAAGGCUCUAUGGGUCGUAAACUUCUUUUAUAUAAGAAUAAAGUGCAGUAUGUAUACUGUUUUGUAUGUAUUAUAUGAAUAAGGAUCGGCUAACUCCGUGCCAGCAGCCGCGGUAAUACGGAGGAUCCGAGCGUUAUCCGGAUUUAUUGGGUUUAAAGGGAGCGUAGGUGGACUGGUAAGUCAGUUGUGAAAGUUUGCGGCUCAACCGUAAAAUUGCAGUUGAUACUGUCAGUCUUGAGUACAGUAGAGGUGGGCGGAAUUCGUGGUGUAGCGGUGAAAUGCUUAGAUAUCACGAAGAACUCCGAUUGCGAAGGCAGCUCACUGGACUGCAACUGACACUGAUGCUCGAAAGUGUGGGUAUCAAACAGGAUUAGAUACCCUGGUAGUCCACACAGUAAACGAUGAAUACUCGCUGUUUGCGAUAUACAGUAAGCGGCCAAGCGAAAGCAUUAAGUAUUCCACCUGGGGAGUACGCCGGCAACGGUGAAACUCAAAGGAAUUGACGGGGGCCCGCACAAGCGGAGGAACAUGUGGUUUAAUUCGAUGAUACGCGAGGAACCUUACCCGGGCUUAAAUUGCAGUGGAAUGAUGUGGAAACAUGUCAGUGAGCAAUCACC